UUGAACGCUGGCGGCAUGCUUACACAUGCAAGUCGAACGGCAGCACGGGGGCAACCCUGGUGGCGAGUGGCGAACGGGUGAGUAAUGCAUCGGAACGUGCCCAGUUGUGGGGGAUAACCAGUCGAAAGAUUGGCUAAUACCGCAUACGACCUGAGGGUGAAAGCGGGGGACCGAAAGGCCUCGCGCGAUUGGAGCGGCCGAUGUCUGAUUAGCUAGUUGGUGAGGUAAGAGCUCACCAAGGCGACGAUCAGUAGCUGGUCUGAGAGGACGACCAGCCACACUGGGACUGAGACACGGCCCAGACUCCUACGGGAGGCAGCAGUGGGGAAUUUUGGACAAUGGGCGCAAGCCUGAUCCAGCCAUGCCGCCGUGCGGGAAGAAGGCCCUCGGGUUGUAAACCGCUUUUGUCAGGAACGAAACGGCGCUUGUUAAUACCGAGCGCUAAUGACGGUACCUGAAGAAUAAGCACCGGCUAACUACGUGCCAGCCGCCGC
rnacentral:rRNA from 1 species